rnacentral:lncRNA from 1 species
CCCCAGGCGAUCUGCCCAACUCGGCCUCCCAAAGUGCUGGGAUUACAGGCGUGAGCCACCACGCCCAGCCGCAUUUGGAUUUUAUAAUAAGCUUUGCUGUGCAGGAGAAGUGGUCCCUGGCAUCCCAGCCCCCUGGCCUGACGAGGUUGGAGGGCUCCUUGGGCCCCCACCACUCUGCUGCAGCCAGGGUGGGUGCAGGGCUGGGAGGGUGAGCCACGAACUUGACAUCGGUGACCUUCACUGCCACCUGGUGGACAGCCUGGGAGUGGUAGCUGGUGGGCUGCGCGGCGGAAGGGGUGCAGUGUCCCGGACGAAGACGGCUGAGCAUUGUGGAGACCAGCAUAGAGAGGCCACAGCAAGUGGGGUGUGACAUCAGGGACAAGGGAGAGGUCACAGACUCGGAUAGUGGCCGUCCUGUGCUGGCCCCUGCAUCUGGGUGGUUGGCAGGUGGAGCACCAAGAUACAGGGUUGAUAGGACUAGGCUGGAAUCCUGGACUCUCUCUGAUCCCGGCAAAGUCACAGAAGCUUCUCCUGUCCUGUCGCUGGUCUUUGGAAGGGAGGAGUGACACCCUCCUCCUGGGCUGGCGCGGGGAAGAGAAGCUCCCGCGUGUGAAACAGCUCCACCACCAAGCGCCUGCAGACGAGCGGUGUGUUCCGCCUGGAACCUGCCGAGGGAACGUGUGGGGAAGGUGUGGCCGCCCUGGGAGGCUCAGCUCUGCAGGAAAUUCGCUCCUUCUGAUGUGCGUUUCAAACGGCCCUACGACAUCUUUUUCUUAAAUUGAGAUGCUCUGUGGCUGCGUGUGCCCUACAGCAGCACGGUUCAGUAGGCAGAGGCCACUUCUACUACCCGGCUAAGGAAAAGAUGGGCAGAGCCUGCUCUGGAUGACGCUGUGUUCCAGCCGGCGGAGAGGGUCCCCCAUUUCCUCGGAACUAAUCCUCCAGGAAAUUAACAGACAGUUUGCUGUGGACAACUAGAGCCCUCCCCUUCCUUAGCCCUGAGCGAGGUAAACAAUUCUGCUCUGCCUUCCGGAAGUUUCAAAUUAGCUCUUCAACCAGCGUUUUCACGCAGCUUCCAGUCCUGCCACAGUCUUGAAGAAGAGAUCAGCUUUCGCGUCUUCAUUCUUGCCAAGAUUAGCUGCCCUUCGAAUCUCCCGUGUGUCAUUAAUCCCAGCACGAACAAGCACUUGGGAACUGCGGGCUGCAGAUGGUCUGCUUAUCCUACGGAACCCUCCUCUUUUGAGGCUUAACCCCUUUAGUCUUUGUUGCUUCUGUAGCUUUCUGAUGCCAUUAAAGAGAUGAUUUUUAUA